UCCGAUGACAGCUAUGGGAUUGGCAGAUGUGAAAAUUUAGUGCUUUUACUAGACGAAUUUUGCUGAUGGCGCUUUGGCUAAUCACGUAUUAGCAGAUGUAUCGUGGUAGAUUUAGAAAUCAGCUUCACUUUAGAGCAAAGUGAAUUUGAAUUGUGUUCCAAGAAAUACUUUACGAAUAUGUGAAAGUAUAGAAAACAAGUAAUUCUUGGUUCUAAUACUUGGACGAUGGCAGCAUAAGGAAUGUUAAGAGCAGACAAUCCAAAACACCCAGUAUGGAUACGAUGAUGAUACAUGGGAUAGAAGAUGUUUCCUACUUUGUGUUUCAAUCUUAUUUAAA